UGCGGCUGGAUCCCCUCCUUUCCGGAGAAAACCUGCAGCGCUCGCCUCGGCGAGACUGCCAGGUGUCGGUCCUCCUCGGAGGACACGACAGAACGGUGAAUACGGAAGCUGCUACCAAUCUUUGAAGGACCGCCUCCUCUUCGGAGCAGACGGGCCCUCUCUUUGAAAUUUUGCGUAGGAAUGGUGGUAGACGCGAGCGAGCGGGCCUUCGGGCACGUUCGGUCGAGUUGAGAUUCCGAAAUGGGUCAAGUUGUCAAGGGCACACGGUGGAUGCCUUGGCAUCAGGAGGCGAUGAAGGACGUAGGAGCCUGCGAUAAGCCCCGUCGAGCUGGCAAGCGAGCGAUGACGCGGGGAUGUCCGAAUGGGGAAACCCGG
rnacentral:misc_RNA from 1 species